rnacentral:rRNA from 1 species
GUUUACGGCCAUAUCACAUUGAAAACACCGGUUCUCGUCCGAUAACCGAAGUUAAGCAACAUCGAGCCUAGUUAGUACUUAGAUGGGUGACCGCUUGGGAAACCUAGGUGCUGUAAACG